ACCCGGCGAUGGGCUGGCGCGCGAUCCGCGUCGGGCUCGACAAGCCCGGGGUGAUGCGGAUGCAGUUGCAGGCGCUGAUCCGGGCCGCGGCCGGGCGCC
rnacentral:tRNA from 1 species